rnacentral:lncRNA from 1 species
UUUUAUAGUCCGAGCGCCGCGCCUAUUAGUAGUAUAUCCGAGAUUGGGUUUUAGCUGAGGGGGGAUGGCGAGGUGCCAGUGAGGGCCAGAAGGAAAUACAACCAUCUGAUCCAACACUGACCAAUGGCAGAGGCAGGAAUUGUCAAAUAGCACCCAGGAGGAGCGCAGCCCGCACGAGGGACCCGCGCACAAACCUAUCAACCUUUUUUUUUUUCCUCCUUCUCCUUCGCCUUUCUCCUCUCUCCCCCCAACAACACAACGCGUCCUGUUCCACCUACGUAGGAUCUGUGAAACAGGCUCAGUGCCUUUGAGGGAGGAGGGAACGUUUAGAUUGAGACCACCCCACUCCCGGGUGAUUAAAUAAAUAUGUCUCUCCCCCACCCCACGCAGGAUUGGAAAAAGUUAAUUGUGUUUUCAGAAAAGUUAACCCCUGCGUUGCUUCGACCCCUUCUCUCCGGGGAGGGUUGGGUAAAUGUCUCCGAAUCGCCUUGAGAGAGAACUAAAGAAGGUUUGUUUCUAGGGUUUUGUGUCGGUAGAAGGUGAGAAGAGUUCUCCGCUAAGAUAAGCAAAGAAGAAACACCCUCCUCCCCAGGUUUUGAACAUCGUUUUUCCUGUUUAUCAGAUCUGCUCUGUCUCCUCCAAGCCUCGGCUUAUUGUUCCUGCUUCUCCACAACCCUUCUGGUCUGAGGGGGCAGGCCAGAUCCCACUGCCUAGAAGACCCAGAAGAGGAGGAGCUGGCAGGAGGGACUGAGCCCAAGCUUCCCCUUCUGACUCUGUGGCUAGACUAGGAGCUUCUUGGAAGGCGGCGACGAGGGUGGCUGCCCAAAACAUUCUGCCUGGUUCUAGUAUGCAGCUGCUCACCCUUGGCAGGGGAAGGGGCACUGGGGAAAGGGACUAGCCCUCUCCUCACUUGGUGAUAUGGAGUGAAGGAGUGAGGGGUAUCCCUCAGCCUAGGUGGCUUUAUUUGUCUGAUCCCUAUCCUGCCUGCAACCCUCACUCCAGUACCCUCUACAAUCCCAAAAGACUUAAGAAUAGCCUGGGCUAUAGGAUUUUCAGGAAUCAGGGAUGUCCCAGUAAAUCUGGGCACAAGGAAGAAAUCAUUCUUCUUCCAGUUGUGGGCUUUGAACCCUCCUGAUAGUUGAGGCAGUCAGAGACCACUGGGAAGAAAUGCAUCCUCACUCCUCUUCUAAGUCUCUGUAGGAGCUGCCAGUUCUUUUUAAAAUUAAUUCUUUCCCAAGACUUGGUUUUUGCUUUAGUUUGAUAGGGAGAGAAGGUCGUUUGCGUUCUCUUGGGGACUCAGCAGGCUGCUUCCAGCCAUCAGCCAGCAUCCCCUCUCCCUUCUGUCUGUAUCUCAGCAUCGCUACAAUUCCCUCCCACACCCCGUGUUUGUAUCAUCAGCUUUGCCGCCUUACAAAUUUAGGUGUGUCAGAGAAUGUAUGUCUCUGGCUCUUUCAUCCAAGGAAAAUAAGCAUUGAGCCCAGGCUGGGAGACAGGGCCACAGUGCAUUCCCAACAUUCUAAUAUACAUACACAGGCCAAGUAGUGAAGGGUGACAACCUUCACACCUGGGGACAAGAAGGGGCCAGGGCAUGGAACAAAGUCAGAUGUCAGGCCAGGCUGACCCUCCUCUGCCUUGUCCUUCCUUUGGGCUCCUUUUUCUGGCCAAGUUCUGCCCACUGAAGAUGGUACAAGACACUAGGGAAGGUGGCAGGGGACUGAGCUUGGAUCACCAAGGGUGGGAACUUAUUUGGUUGCAACGUGGUCUCCAAGGCUCUCUAAACUCAGGGCAACUUCUUGGCUGUACCUUAAUGGCAAAAUAGCCAUCCCUAGAUGGCCUCCAAUUACUUCCUAACCUGACUCUGUGGGAGUGUUUGAUAAGCAUUUAAGAAAACAAAUUUAAACCCCCUGAUAAUGAAGAAGGAUAAAUAUUCCAUAUCUAGGUAUGGCUGGGCUUGCUUCUAGAGAGGACUAGGGGCCAUUUGAACAGGGGGAGAAAAGUGGGAGAGAGUACCUGCAUGCACCUCCCUGCCUACUGCUGAGGCUGAGCCCUGGGCCUCAGCCUUCCCUGCCUCCUCCCUGCCCACAAUGUCUCCAUCCUAGCACUAAAUAGUGUGGUUUUCUCAGUGAAGUCUGAACAAAAUAAGAUCUGGUGAGGAAGGGAGCAUUUCCCUGUGUCAGAAGCAGGGAAAUAAUUGCCUUAUCUUUAGAGUCACAGCCCCCAAAUUAACCUCACCUCUGCAGGUUGCUUGUCUGGAGAUGGAGCCACUACAGGCGGGCCUGGGCGCCUGGAGUCGGGCAUGAAAGAAAAUAGCGCCUCAUCGCUCUUAUCUAAGCCCAGAGGUAUUUAUGAGCGUUUAUUCGUCUGAUCCGUUUGUUUGGGAAAAAGAGCAGGCGGGCAGGGCAGGCCAGAGACCGACUCCUUUCUGGAGCCAGAUCCCUACGAAUCUGUCUGUGGUUCGGUCCACCGCCCUCUGUCUGUCUCCUUGGGGGAAUAUGUAAAUACACAGCGGGCUCAGCCAUCCGCCAGUCUGGGGUGUCUCUCCCUGCCUCAAUGAGGAAGUGUGUGUUCAGAGAGAUGGAUAGAAGUGUGUACCAAUUCUUGAGUACAUAACAGAGGGAUUGUACAGAUACCCCACAGGCAGGAUUUAUAAUUGUAAUUUUCUAUGCUGUGAGUCUGCAGUCCUGUGGGCAAGCUAACACAUUCCAGCUCCCAGGAAAAUGUUUCCUAAGUUGUGUUCAGUUCGGGAGUAAAAUUCUUGAUAGGUAACCUCAGGAGGGAUAUUUGCGUGUGUGUGUGUGUGUGUGUGUGUGUGUGGUGUGGUGUGGUGUGUGUGGGAGGGUGCUGAGACAUUGUCCAGGCUUCCAAUUUCCUCUAAGCUAUAAAGCCCUCUCCCUCAGCUCUUUGAGGUGAUGAGCACCUUCUCCCACCACCCCCAACUUUGGCUGGGGUGGGGUGGGAUGAAAAUAUUUCAACUCAAUUCUCGUCCUGGACUCUGUUUCUCUGGGUUUGGGGAACAUAAAUAAAUGUUCCCAGGGGUACUGAGUGAUCACUCCCAUAGGUUGAGGGAGGCUGUUUAGAUGAGACACUUUGCCCUAAAAUCGGCCCCUCCAAAUCAAAGUACAAAGACUUCAUUUUCAUUAUGCAAAGGAGCGGCAUCCUCUUUGAUCUUUAGGGGAGUGAGCAGUAGUGCUGAACCCACUCUCCCGGUUUCCUACCCGCAGGUCCAGGGGACAACCUGAGGGCCCUGAAGUGUUUCAAUACCAUGUACCAGCUUGACUUCUCUACAUGUCCUUUGGAUUGCCCAAAAGCAAAAUCUCAGAGGGGCCAAGGACCUUCUAGGGCUGGCUCCCUCAGGGCCUCCUAUAGAGCAGCUCCUUGAGUCGGGCCUUAUAGCCACCAGAAAGUCACCUCGCCGCAGGAAAGCUAUAAAGAGCUGCUCCAGAGGCGCCGAAAGAGGGUGAGGGCUGCAGCCACAGUGUUUGUCCCCAGCACCACCAGGCCCCUUAACCUCGUCAGCUCCUCUAGCCCUCGGCCAGACUCUGGCAACACCUUGGUUUGCCUGGCACCGCAGGCAAUUUCCUGGAACCCCACCCCCACCCAGGAACGGGGACCACAGCACCUUUAAAGGAACUGCCAGAGCUUCCUCCUACGGCUUGAAAGCCCAAGCUAAUCAGUAACCCGUGAGACAGGGGCCAAUAUUCAAACGCUGCAGCAGAGGCGCAUAGCCUAGCCCUGGCCACCCCCUCUUGGGAAGGAGGUCGAGUUAAGCCGGUGUGGAGGGUCCAACAGGAACGGAAAUUACGACGGUGUGGUUCCUUAAGGAUUUGGCCCCAGUCCCACUACCAAAUUUUUCCCAAAUCAUAUUUAGGUAGACUUCGCUUGAAAAGAUCGAGAAUGGAGGAGGGGAUCGGCACUCACUUGCAGACAUCAACAGUUUCCAGAAAAUUCGGUUCAAUUCCUUCACCACGGACCCACCAACCAAGGAGCUGGCAAAACCCACUAACCAACCAGGAGAACACAGACCCGGUUUGUCUUUUGACAACCGAGUGGAACUGACGGGGCCGGCGCCUGCCCUGCGGGUCCCCUCCCUUGGCUGAGAAGAAAACCAAAUAAACCUUGAACAGCCUUGGCUUCGGAUGUCUCAAGCGGCCUCAUCCUCUCCCGCGCCUUGCCGUUUCCUCUCCCUCGCCGGCCUCGGCGGAGAUUCCAGGCCCUAUAGAAACCAGGACGUCCCUUAGCGCCACCGCCUCACAUGCCAGUGCUGCCGGGAACCCAGCGAUAUCCGCACCAGCGGAGAAGGUUCCAGGCUGCCGGCGGCGGCGCAGAGAGCGGGAAGAGAGGCUCGGAGGAAGCCCCGGGCGUGGCGUGGUCAGGCUCCGAGAGCGGCCGGGAUGCGGCCACACCGGCCUGGUAAACUCGCACCUCUUAGGAUCUUGCUCCCGGACUCAUUCCCUUCCCCACCCCCUAUUUUAAAGUUUUAUUUGGGUCGUCUGUAUCAAUUUAGAACGAGAUAAAUUAAGACAAAGAAAGUAAAAUAAAUCGAAAUAAAAUAUAGGAAUAGCUCUUGGCGAAAAUGUUUGCCGUGCGAGCAGGAAGCCGUGAGCGCCCUAGUUGGAGGCUGCUCUGCGCCGACUAAGAGGCCUCUACUCCCAGGCCUGGCCUCUACGCAACGCCACCCAAGAAGCCAGAGUGAAUUUGGGUGUUCAUUUUCCCUUUCCUUCCGCUCUUCCUUCAUGUGGGGCCUAGCAGCUUGGAUUUCAGCUCCGUCUUUGUGCCUGGGCUGCAGCCCAGAUCCAGAUCCCGCAGCUUGGUUUCCAGGCCUGAAUGAGGACGCGGGUUUGUGAAACUGUGAGGUUUUUGUUUUGUUGUUUUGUGAGCUUGUGUGACUAAGCAUGUGGGCUUCUGAGUGCGUUUACUUGGGGGCAAAUGUGAAUCUGUGUUUAUAAGCCAAUGUGUGAAUGUACGUUGGUAUCAAUGUGUCUGUGAGUGUGAAUGUGUGUUUACUUGUGAGCGUGUGUGAACAUGAAUGCCUA